rnacentral:rRNA from 1 species
CAAGGCUUGACAUGGAUUUUUAAGCAUGUGAAAGCGUGUGACCCUUCGGGGGACUUCCACAGGUGCCGCAUGGCCGUCGUCAGCUCGUGUCGUGAGAUGUUGGGUUAAGUCCCGCAACGAGCGCAACCCCUGUGAAUUGUUGCCAGCACGUUAUGGUGGGGACUCUGUUCAGACUGCCCAGAUCAAACGGGAGGAAGGUGGGGACGACGUCAGGUCAGUAUGGCCCUUACGCCUUGGGCUGCACACGUCCUACAAUGCCCAGCACAAUGAGAACCCAGCCCGCGAGGUGGAGGAAAUCCCCAAA